GGUUGUGUAGUGUAGUGGUUAUCACUUCAGAUUUUGAGUUAAGAUGUCUACCUUCUCUCCCAAGAAAAGGAAAAACAUUGUCUCUCAUACCUUCUGAUAACCCCGGUUCGAACCCGGGCACGACCU